UUUCCAAAAAAUCCUACAACUCGAGCAAUGUGGUUAGAAAGUUUGGGAAUAAAUUUAUCAUCUAUCCCAAAUACAGCUCGCAUUUGCUCUGCUCAUUUUGAUGAAAAAUUCUUUGAUAAGACAUGUUCGAUAACUCAACUUAAGCCAAAUGCAUUGCCGAAUAGAACACUUGCAAUACAACAACUUUCUUCGAAUUCUACUGUAGUAGAACAAUCUACACAUGAUAAAAAUCAAAUUUCUUCUUCAAAUUUUGUGGCAAAAUCUAAUAUUGAAAAUUCUGCCAGUAUUACAAACGAUAAUAUACAUGAUACAACAGAUCAUUUGUUAGAACCAAUAGUUCCAACAGAAUCAAUCAAUGAAUUACCAAAUAUAUUUCCAUCACAAUCUUUAAUAUCUAAAAUAGAUAAAGCGACAAUGGUAUCACCAAAACGCAUCUAUAAUUCUCCAGAAAAAUCCAGAUUACGAAGAAGAAUAAGAUUUUGGAAGCAGAACAUGCGAAGAAAAUGAGAAAUGUGCGCCAAAAAAUAUGCCGAUACAGCGAUCAAGUGGUCACACUCAAAGGCAUUUUAAACAAAUUAAAAAAUAAUGAACUGUUAAAUGAAACACAAGCCGAAAUGAUACAUCUGCUAGGUGGAUCAACCGACGUCAUUUCCACAUCCUGCAACAAAUGAAAAAGUAGCAGCUUUUUUUGAUCCCAGCCACAUGCUAAAAUUGGUACGAAAUACCUUUGGAGACAUCAAAACUUUUAUUGAUGGAAAUAAUCAACUAAUCAAAUGGUCUUACUUAAAUAAUCUUCAUGAAUUACAAGAAUGCGAAAAUAUGCAUUUAGGGAACAAAUUACGAAGUGCACACAUUAAUUAUAAUAAACAAAAAAUAGAAAGUCCGUUUAGCGGCUCAGAUUUUUAGUAAUUCGGUAGCAGAUUCGCUUUUCUUUUGUGAGAAGAAUUUAAUGUUAAAAAAAUUUGAAGGUUGCGAGGGAAUAAUAUCAAAUUUUUAUUAACUUUUAAUGAUCUCUUCGACAUAUUAAAUUCAAGAAACAUGAAACAGUUUGGAUUAAAACAAGCAUUAUGUUCUCAAAAUAUAGAAUUAAUAACAAAUAAAUUUAACGAAUUUAAAAUGUACAUAUUAUCAUUAAAAAAAGAAAAUGGUGAGUUAUUAUGUCACUCUCGUCGAAAAACUGGGUUUUUAGGCUUUCUCAUUUGUAUAGAAAGUGCAUUAUUAUUAUUUAAAGAACUGUGUACAGAGAAAAAUUAUUUAAAAUACAUUUCGUUUUAUAAAUUUAGUCAAGAUCAUAUAGAAUUAUUAUUUGGAUGUUUUCGACAUCAUGGCGGAGGAAAUAAUAAUCCUACCGUCAGACAAUUCAAAGCCGCUAUGAAAAAAAUUCUUGUUCACGCAGAUUUACGUAACUCAGAAACUGGAAAUUGUAUUUCUUUAGAAGAAAUAUCAAUUUUACACGUAACAUCUGCUGGCAAAAUAAAAAAUUCCGAAGACAUUAUAAAUUCCACGUCACGGCUGUCACGAUUACAUAAUGAUAAUGAAUCGGAUGAAAACAAUAAUUAUGAUGAAGAUUUUAAUUUAAUUAAUGAUCACAACUAUAUUUCGGAUGUCCGGGAAAUCUCGGAAUUUUCUAGUAAUGUCGUCGAAUAUAUUGCCGGCUAUGUCGUAAUGCAAUUAAAAAAAAAGUUAAUUUGCGAUAUUUGUAUUAGUGCAUUAAUAAAUAACGAUAGAAAGAAUAAUUUAAUAAGUGUAAAAAGUCGCGGGGGAUUAAUACAACCCUCAGAGGUAUGUUAUUACUAUUUGUCGUAAAUGUGAGACGGAAAUUCGGUGUGCCAUUCAUGCAAGCAAAACAUUUACAUGUAUAAAACGAAAAUAUAAUGAGUCCUAUAUAUCGAACCAAGUUUUGAAGCAAUUUAUUAAUGUCACUUUAUUUAAAGAUUUAAAUAAGCAUGCAUACGACCAAUCAUUAAUGGAAAAUCACGUUGUCCACUUAAUCCGAGCUAUUGUCAACAAAUAUGUUAAAAUUAGAUUAUACUAUAUAGCGUUGAAUACUAUAGAUAAGUCAAAUAGUCAACGUCAGUUAUUUAAUAAACUUAU